rnacentral:rRNA from 1 species
CACGUAGGGUGCGAGCGUUGUCCGGAAUUAUUGGGCGUAAAGCGCUCGUAGGCGGUGUGUCGCGUCGGCCGUGAAAACCUGCAGCUCAACUGUGGGCUUGCGGUCGAUACGGGCAUCACUGGAGUUCGGCAGGGGAGACUGGAAUUCCUGGUGUAGCGGUGAAAUGCGCAGAUAUCAGGAGGAACACCGGUGGCGAAGGCGGGUCUCUGGGCCGAUACUGACGCUGAGGAGCGAAAGCGUGGGGAGCGUACAGG